rnacentral:rRNA from 1 species
GUGAGGAAUAUUGGUCAAUGGGCGGGAGCCUGAACCAGCCAAGUCGCGUGAAGGAAGAAGGAUCUAUGGUUCGUAAACUUCUUUUGCAGGGGAAUAAAGUGCAGGACGUGUCCUGUUUUGUAUGUACCCUGAGAAUAAGGAUCGGCUAACUCCGUGCCAGCAGCCGCGGUAAUACGGAGGAUCCGAGCGUUAUCCGGAUUUAUUGGGUUUAAAGGGUGCGUAGGUGGUUUGAUAAGUCAGCGGUGAAAGUUUGCAGCUUAACUGUAAAAAUGCCGUUGAAACUGUCGGACUUGAGUGUAAAUGAGGUAGGCGGAAUGCGUGGUGUAGCGGUGAAAUGCAUAGAUAUCACGCAGAACUCCGAUUGCGAAGGCAGCUUACUAAGCUACAACUGACACUGAAGCACGAAAGCGUGGGGAUCAAACAGGAUUAGAUACCCAGUAGUCC